CUUGUCCUACGGGGCGCAGCAGUGGGGGAUAUUGCACAAUGGGGGGAACCCUGAUGCAGCGACGCCGCGUGGGUGAAGGAGCGUUUCGGCGCGUAAAGCCCUAUCGGCAGGGAAGAAGAUGACGGUACCUGACCAAGAAGCCCCGGCUAACUACGUGCCAGCAGCCGCGGUAAUACGUAGGGGGCAAGCGUUAUCCGGAUUUACUGGGUGUAAAGGGCGUGCAGCCGGGAAGACAAGUCAGAUGUGAAAUCCCGCGGCUCAACCGCGGAACUGCAUUUGAAACUGGUUUUCUUGAGUACCGGAGG
rnacentral:rRNA from 1 species